ACGGGUUAAUAUUCCCGUACUUGUUGUAACUGCGAUGGAGGGACGGAGUAGGCUAGGCGAGCGCAGCGUUGGUUGUCUGCGUUUAAGCUAGUAGGCUGAGAUCUUAGGCAAAUCCGGGAUCUUAAGGCUGAGAGGUGAUGACGAGUCCUCUUUUGGACGAAGUCGUUGAUGCCAUGCUUCCAAGAAAAUCUUCUAAGCUUCAGGUUACAACAAACCGUACCCCAAACCGACACAG
rnacentral:rRNA from 1 species